rnacentral:rRNA from 1 species
AACGAACGCUGGCGGCAGGCUUAACACAUGCAAGUCGAACGCCCCGCAAGGGGAGUGGCAGACGGGUGAGUAACGCGUGAGCAUCUACCCAUCUAUGCGGAAUAGCUCCGGGAAACUGGAAUUAAUACCGCAUACGCCCUACGGGGGAAAGAUUUAUCGGGGAUGGAUGAGCCCGCGUGGGAUUAGCUAGUUGGUGGGUUAAAGGCCUACCAAGGCGACGAUCCAUAGCUGGUCUGAGAGGAUGAUCAGCCACAUUGGGACUGAGACUCGGCCCAAACUCCUACGGGAGGCAGCAGUGGGGAAUAUUGGACAAUGGGCGCAAGCCUGAUCCAGCCAUGCCGCGUGAGUGAUGAAGGCCUUAGGGUUGUAAAGCUCUUUCACCGGUGAAGAUAAUGACGGUAACCGGAGAAGAAGCCCCGGCUAACUUCGUGCCAGCAGCCGCGGUAA